rnacentral:rRNA from 1 species
GACGAACGCUGGCGGCGUGCCUAAUACAUGCAAGUCGAGCGGKGUUGWUUAGAAGCUUGCUUCUAAWCAACCUAGCGGCGGACGGGUGAGUAACACGUAGGCAACCUGCCCACAAGACAGGGAUAACUACCGGAAACGGUAGCUAAUACCCGAUACAUCCUUUUCCUGCAUGGGAGAAGGAGGAAAGACGGAGCAAUCUGUCACUUGUGGAUGGGCCUGCGGCGCAUUAGCUAGUUGGUGGGGUAAAGGCCUACCAAGGCGACGAUGCGUAGCCGACCUGAGAGGGUGAUCGGCCACACUGGGACUGAGACACGGCCCAGACUCCUACGGGAGGCAGCAGUAGGGAAUCUUCCGCAAUGGGCGAAAGCCUGACGGAGCAACGCCGCGUGAGUGAUGAAGGUUUUCGGAUCGUAAAGCU